AUACGUAGGGGGCGAGCGUUGUCCGGAAUUAUUGGGCGUAAAGGGUUCGUAGGCGGUAAUAAAUGUCAGAUGUGAAAUCUUGUGGCUUAACCACAUCAAGCAUCUGAAACUGUAUAACUUGAGUGGAGGAGAGGUAAGUGGAAUUCCUAGUGUAGCGGUGAAAUGCGUAGAUAUUAGGAAGAAUACCAGUAGCGAAGGCGACUUACUGGCCUCUAACUGACGCUGAUGAACGAAAGCGUGGGUAGCAAACAGGAUUAGAUACCCUGGUAGUCCACGCCGUAAACGAUGAGUGCUAGGUGUCGGGAGUCAAAUCUCGGUGCCGUAGUUAACGCAAUAAGCACUCCGCCUGGGGAGUACGUGCGCAAGCAUGAAACUCAAAUGAAUUGACGGGG
rnacentral:rRNA from 1 species